rnacentral:rRNA from 1 species
CACGUAGUCGGCUUUGCAAGUCGGGUGUGAAAUCCCCGGGCUCAAUCUGGGAACUGCAUCCGAGACUGCAUUGCUAGAGUAUGGGAGAGGGAAGCGGAAUUUCUGGUGUAGCAGUGAAAUGCGUAGAUAUCAGAAGGAACAUCAGUGGCGAAGGCGGCUUCCUGGACCAAUACUGAGAUCAGGUGACGAAGCGGUGGGGAGCAAACA